rnacentral:ncRNA from 1 species
CGAACGAAGAGUUUGAUCCUGGCUCAGGAUGAACGCUGACAGAAUGCUUAACACAUGCAAGUCGACUCGAGUCUUUGGACUUGGGUGGCGGACGGGUGAGUAACGCGUAAAGAACUUGCCUCAUAGUCUGGGACAACAUCU